GACGAACGCUGGCGGCGUGCCUAAUACAUGCAAGUAGAACGCUGAAGGAGGAGCUUGCUUCUCUGGAUGAGUUGCGAACGGGUGAGUAACGCGUAGGUAACCUGCCUGGUAGCGGGGGAUAACUAUUGGAAACGAUAGCUAAUACCGCAUAACAGUAGAUGUUGCAUGACAUUUGCUUAAAAGGUGCAAUUGCAUCACUACCAGAUGGACCUGCGUUGUAUUAGCUAGUUGGUGGGGUAACGGCUCACCAAGGCGACGAUACAUAGCCGACCUGAGAGGGUGAUCGGCCACACUGGGACUGAGACACGGCCCAGACUCCUACGGGAGGCAGCAGUAGGGAAUCUUCGGCAAUGGGCGGAAGUCUGACCGAGCAACGCCGCGUGAGUGAAGAAGGUUUUCGGAUCGUAAAGCUCUGUUGUAAGAGAAGAACGAGUGUGAGAGUGGAAAGUUCACACUGUGACGGUAUCUUACCAGAAAGGGACGGCUAACUACGUGCCAGCAGCCGCGGUAAUACGUAGGUCCCGAGCGUUGUCCGGAUUUAUUGGGCGUAAAGCGAGCGCAGGCGGUUAGAUAAGUCUGAAGUUAAAGGCUGUGGCUUAACCAUAGUACGCUUUGGAAACUGUUUAACUUGAGUGCAAGAGGGGAGAGUGGAAUUCCAUGUGUAGCGGUGAAAUGCGUAGAUAUAUGGAGGAACACCGGUGGCGAAAGCGGCUCUCUGGCUUGUAACUGACGCUGAGGCUCGAAAGCGUGGGGAGCAAACAGG
rnacentral:rRNA from 1 species